rnacentral:tmRNA from 1 species
GGGGAUGAAAGGAUUUCGACGGGGCUUGAAAACCUUGGUCAGCGAGUAGCGGAGUUGCACCGCUUAAAAAGUAACAGCUUAAAAUUAACUGACAAAAAUACAGUUACUCUGAAGGCUGCGUAAGCACCCUUUACGUUCUUUCCGAUAGCGCCACGAAUCGGAUAAGGGCGUCGUGUUAGUGGCGAACAUGAACAGAAGAACGUCUUGACUUCUGUCAGGAAUUAGAGACUACCGUAGUACAAAGGCUGUUUGCCGCCGUUGUAUGAGGGGAAUCGAAAAUGACAAACUACACUCGUAGAGCCCUCGGCAAUCUUUCUUCGGACGCGGGUUCGACUCCCGCCAUCUCCACCA